rnacentral:lncRNA from 1 species
UCUUUCUGUUUUCUUUUUAAAAAUAAUAAUAAUAAAAAAAUCUACCUGUCAAAUCACAUUGAGUGAAGCGCUGAAUUAAGGAAGACAAGACUUAAUGGGCUUUCUUUCCUAAAAAUAGAUCCUCUCGUGAAAGAGAUGAAGGGCAUUGCCCAGGGAGGUCAGCCGAAAUUGCCUGAAAUUACGCUAUCACCUAGAUGUGGUGUCCAAAAUUAGCCUCCUCUCUGGCUGCGUGGGUUCAGUGCUCCCUGAAGAUUAAACGCAGCACAAAAUUCAUUUAAUCUAAAGAGAGUCUAAGCCAUACGGCAUGCCAUAGUUUAAAUGUCAGAAAAACUGAGCCCGGGACUCUCUGUGAUGAUUAGUAACAUGCUAACGAAGCCACGGGGGAAGGAGCGAACGGGGGCUGUGUGAGGAGGCUGGGCAGGGCCGGGGCAGGAAUCGAGGAUGUUGCUGGGAAUAAUUGAAAGGGCCUGAACCAGGGCAGCUUUCCCUAUCCAGAACCAGUUCUGAUCUUUUUACAGAAGGGGAAGGAAGAUGAUUUGCUUUAAAUAAUCCUCCAGCCUCCUCAGUGUGGGUGUUUUCUGGACUCUGUGAUUAAUAGAGAGCACGUUGGAAAGCGAUGGGAUAGGAACCUCAUUUAGAGCCCAAGCGUUCCUUACUUUUUUUCCUUUUUAAUUAAUCUGAGGUUGCUCCUGGAGCGGAGCAGUUGGAGGAAGGUGCUUGAGGAACACGAGGUUAAUGGAAGGUGGAAGCAGAAGGGAGCAACCAUUGGCAAUACGGCAGGUUUGCAGGCCAUGCCAAAUUUGUGCCCGAGUCACCUGAAGGACCUGUGCGUGAUUUAAUCACUGCACUCGAGUCCAGCCCAAGGCUUUGCCUUACCGACUGGAGCUGCUCCUGCCAAGGAGAGGAGGGAAGGAAGGCAGGGCAGAGCUCAGCUCUGUUUUCAGCUGCCACCACACAUGAGAAGAAACCUUUUGAGACAUCAGGGGGUGGAAAGAAAGAAGUCAGACAAUAUUAAUUUGAAAAAUAUAAAAUUUUAAUAAAGGCUACAUCUCUUAAUUACA